rnacentral:lncRNA from 1 species
CAUGCAGCUGGCUAUUCUGCUAUAACAAAUUAAUAGCCUAACAAAUUUCAAAUAGCCUAACAAACUUCAGAUGGUUAUUCAUAACCAUCUAACAAACUCAUUGUUGUCCAGAUAUGGCUACCCAAGAGGGAGGAUGAAUUAGAUAUUUUAAAAAUUUUAAACCAAAUUUAAUCUCUAACCAAAUAUAUGCUUCUAACUUAAGUAAUUGUG